UACGUAGGGGGCUAGCGUUGUCCAGAAUCAUUGGGCGUAAAGCGCGUGUAGGCGGUCCGGUAAGUCCGCUGUGAAAGUCGGGGGGCUCAACCCUCGAAUGCCGGUGGAUACUGUCGGGCUAGAGUGCGGAAGAGGCGAGUGGAAUUCCUGGUGUGAGCGGUGAAAUGCGCAGAUAUCAGGAGGAACACCAAUUGCGAAGGCAGCUCGCUGGGACGUAACUGACGCUGAGACGCGAAAGCGUGGGGAGCAAACAGG
rnacentral:rRNA from 1 species